rnacentral:lncRNA from 1 species
GCCUCUGGGAUAUGCACUCCCACUGGGGAACCUGGCAAUCCAGGCCACGGGGAAGACCUUAACCCUACCCAGUGCUGGAGCUGAUUUAAUGAGCUGAGGGGAGUAUAUGAGAAGGAGCAGCUUCAGGAUGUGCUUUGCUUGCACUCCUAGACUCUACUGGGGACAGAGGGAAGCCAUUCCUGAUCCUACCUCACAGAGGACCAUGCAGAAGUCAGCCAACUAGCUCAGGCGGUGGCCAUGGGCUGAGAGGAGUGAGAAGCUCCCAACUGAGAUUCACAAUAUAAUCUCUAGCAGGGAUGGACCUCCUUGACCAGAACUGAGGGGCAAGUGGGAAGUGCGCUGUGCCCACAGGUGUAGGAGCUGGGUGCCCCUGCUUCGCUAGCAGAUCAGGAGGGGCAUGGCCUGAGCAGUUUUUGUCUUGGCAGCCAGAGAAGGCUUAUGGUCUGGGACAGUUUUGAGUGCUGAAUGCAGCCUGCUUGCAACCUAGAUGGCCGCUGCCAGUAGAACACUGUGGGUCUGAGACCUGUCUUGCCAAGUGCAUAGGGGCUGAGUGGGGCUUACUGCCACCUGUACUCCCCACUUCCUGUGUGGACUCUUCUGUGCGGCAGGGGCAACUGCACUCCUCCCUGGAACAUUAUCCCAGCAUCCAGAGAACUGCCCUCUGAUCCCCACUGGGCCACUGAUUGCACCUGCACGUGGAUAGCCAGAGCGCGAACUUGCCUGACUCAGCCCCGACCUGGUUUGCCUUUUUACCCACCCUGGUAGCUUAACACAAAGGACAGAAACUUUCGGGAGUGUUAUGGACCUGCCCAUUGCUUGAGACACCAGAGUACCUCCCCUGGUCACAUAAGCCAAGCAUGAAUUCCACCACUACUACUGCAGUCAGUGCUCUUUCGCACCAACUGCACCUCCUGGCUAUAGGCCAAUCAACAUAGUCCAUUACAACAUCUGUAGGCAGAAUAACACAGCACUGGGAAGGAGAAAACUUUUGCAUGACUACAGCUACCACCAUUGCCUGCAUCACCCUGGCUAACCAGGAGGUCUUGAGUCUGUUCACAUGACCAGAUCAUUACUACUACAACUGAAAUUAGAGAAAGCCAGCACACUAAGGCUAUUUGUAACCAAAGAAUCUCACAGAGUUUACUUUACUCCUCUGCCAGCCCCAUCAGAGCUGGUGCUGGUACCCACUGCUGGGAGACUUGAGGAUAAGUCACAUCGCUGGACCCUUUGCAGACAUUCCCUAGCACAGGCCUGGAAUGUAGCAGCCCCAUUGGGUGGCCAGAUCCAGAGCCGCAGCAGCAAUCAUAGUAGUCUGGCACUCAGGGACUCCUACUCCUAGGCCUCCGGUAAUCACCAUUUUACUCUCUACCUCCAUGAGAUCAACUUUUUUAGCUCCCACAGUUGGUGCUCCAUCUAUACCAGGUUGCUACUUCAUGUUUGGACUUGGAUGAAACAGCAUACUAUAAGGCAUGAAACCUGGCUUCCUGAGUGACAGCUGAGAGGAGAGAUGUAGCUGAACCAAUCAGCUACAACGUCAUUCCAGUGUCCAUACUUACAUAGUGGAAAAUCCUCUAAAGCCCACUUCUGAGAGAACACUAAUUUCUAGAUUUCACAUUUCCCGAAUCCCGUAUAAGAUCAGUUCUUUCUUGGUUCAGAGGCACUACUUUACAAAUAUUGUUCUCCCUUGCCUAGCGAGCAAUAAACUUAGCUUUUUGUUUCAGACACUGAAUGCUAUUCUUUCCUGUGACACUCCUUGAGAUUGUUCUAGAGAAGUAAGUCCCACAUGCUGAAUGUCCGAGCUUGCUAAGCAACUUGCCUUGUCUCUUAGCAGCUUGUUGUGAAGUAGUGGGCAGCUAUGGUACUAUAACACACCAAACUGCAUGGCAUCUUUACUUGACUCAUUCUUUUUCCUCACUAUCAUUGCCCUGGAUUUGUACCUCCCAAACAAAUUGUUAUCAUUUUUAUCCUUGCUUCAGGCUCUGCUUUUAUAGGAGUCCGGAUAGGACAAAGUGGGAAAGUACAAUUUUUGAUACUUCUUCCUUUGUCUCAGGCUGGAAGUUAAAAGGUAAGACAGAAUCUUCUCAUAAAUUAAAACAAGAUAAUUUCCUUGGACAUCAUGCCAUUAAUUUUGUUUUUCUCAGCUGAGUGAGGUGGUGUGUCCUAUAGUACCAGCUAUUCAAGAAGCUGAGACGGGAGGAUUGCUUGAGCCUGGGUGUUUGAGGCUGUAGUGUACUAUGAUCAUGCCUGUGAAUAACCACUGCACAACAUAGCAAGACCCUAUUUCUAAAAGAAAAACAAAAAGUCUUUUAUCUCCUGGAACUCUUUAAAUAUUUCUCCCCUCUGUUUAACUAAGGUAUGUGAUAAGAGGGUCUUUUCUUUUUCCCUUUUACAAUAUGUUUCUGGGAGACUGACCAGGAAUUUCACCUAAAUACUUCCCAUUGGUAGAGUAAAGCCAGCAUUGCAGCCUUAUAAAGAACAUUCUGAGAUUCUCAGCCCAAGUGAGGGAAGGAAGACUGUCUUGUGCUUUGAUAUGGUUUGGCUCUGUGUCCAUUGUAAGUUUCCUGAGGCCUCCCCAGCCAUGCAGAACUGUGAGUCAAUUAAACUUCUUUUCUUUAUAAAUUACCCAGUCUCGGGUAUUUCUUCAUGGUAAUGUGAGAACGAACUCAUACAUGCCUUCUACAGGCAAAGCACAUCAUUGGGAAAAUGAGAUGUCUAUAUUGGCAAAUAAUUUAGUGACAAAGGAAGAGCUGUGGCUCAGUCCUCCAGAAGAAACUGCUGGUCUCAAAAGAGACUGUCUUUUCUUUCACACUUCCAUAUACUUCAUUAUUCUUGUAUUGCAGUUAUGUGAUUAUCCAACCAGACAGUGAUGGCAACAACAGCCAAGGAAUAAUUGAAUGUCCACUAUGGCGUGCUCAAUGACAGUCUUGAGGACAAUGGAGAGCUUUUAUGUUGUCAGGGAAUGAUGCAGAUGUUAGGAAAUGAUGCAAAAUACACAAGAUGUGGAUGUUAAGGCAUGGGAUGAGUAUGGAGUCAUAAGGAGAGAGGUAGUGAGAAACCGAUAGUUUGUAAGUUACUUAGUAGAUACUCAGAAGACUGUUGAAGGAUGAGUGAUAGAAUAAAAGAGUGACUUUCCAGUAGCUUCUUGAGAUCUCCAGUGAAUCAGGCUUGGAGGAAACUUAGAAUGAAUUAAUUAUCUGCAAGUGAAUUUUUGCAUUUUUCUAAGUUUAUGCAGCAAAUCCAUGCAACUUUUUAUGUCUCUCCACAGAUUAUUUGAUUUCUGACAUUUGAUCUCAUCCCCUUUGUCUACGUUUUAAUGGUUGUUUUUAAAUUGAGUGAUGUUCAGGCCCCUUCCUGCAUAUCUCUACCUUCCAUCAUUAAGGCUCCUUUCUAGGAACAUGACAUUCUAAAAUGAAGACUAAUUGUUUAUCUUCAGUGUUGCCUUUUUAUAUAAAGAAUAGAUUUUCAUCUUUAGGAAUUCCACUAACUGUCUUUAUUUUAUGUAAUUUCCAUGCCAGUUUUUUCUUUAUUAUAAAGAUUUCUUAGCCGGGAACGGUGGCUCACACCUAUAAUCUCAGCACUUUUGGAGGCUGAGGCAGGUGGAUCGUGGUCAGGAGUUCAAGACCAACCUGGCCAAGAUGGUGAAACCCUGUCUACUAAAAAUGCAAAAAAAAUUAGCUGGGCAUGAUGGAAGGUGCCUGUAAUCUCAGCUACUGAGGAGGCUGAGGCAGAGAGCUGCUUGAACCCGGGAGCCGGAGGUUGUAGUGAGUGGAGAUCGUGCCACUGCACUGCAGUCCGGGUGACGGAGUGAGACUCCAUUUCAAAAAAAAAAAAAGUUUCUUUAUUAUAAAACGAUUGCACACUACAUGCCUGAUGCUUCACCUCAACGUUUGCCUCUGGCAUCUUGCUUCCAACCUGAACUCUGACCAGAUGAAAGGGAGGAGGGCACAAAUGAUACACUUGGGGAAACCUGCAACAGGCAGACACCAGGAGCUUGGUGGGUGGAAUCCAUGUGUGAAAACCCUCUGUGCUAUGGCUUUCAGAUGGAUGGUAGACCUUCCAACGUGGCCUGAGUUAGUCAUGAUAAAAAACCUUGGCAACAUUUUCAGUGCCCUAAAUUUGAUAAAAACAAGAUAAUACCUUGAAGAAAUGUCAUAGAAAGAUGAAAAAUAUUGAGGGAAUGAGUUAGGGCUGUGAACGUACUGUGAUUACUCAAUAACCACAAACUUGCAAUUAACUGCUGUAACCACAAAUCACCCUUCUAGGGUUCGCUGUGUAGAAAGAGCCGUUGAUUUUUUAUAGUCACUGUAGCCACAGCUGGAACCUCAUAAAGAGUUCAUGGUGGGCCUUCGAUCAAAGCUGGAGAUGCUAUUUCUUGCAAAUUAUGAAUCUUUCUGUUGCUGUGAGCUGAUAUAGGGGAUAGCCAAAUUAUAGCAACAUUGGAGAAUCAGUCCCUAGCAAAGGGUUUUGCAUAAUACAGAUGAAGACAGAAUGUCUCAAGUCUGGGAAAUGCUUUCAUUUAAAAAAGAUGUAUUAAGUACUCGCCCUGUAAGUGUUACUGUCAAAGCACUGGGAAUCAAAUGGUGAACACUAACAGAUUUAGUUUCUAAUCUUGAGGAGUGAGACAUAAUUAACCAAAGAGAACUUACUUAUAUGAUUAUAAAUGGUGGCAAGUAAUCUGAAGGAAAAAAAUUAUCAGAGAGUAUGAUAGGCUAAUUGGAUAUUAUAUAGGGGUCAGGAAAGACUGCCAGUAAUGCAAACAUACAGCUGAAGAUGAAAAGUGUUCUCUUGCCUGUCAAAGAAAUCAUCUUGAGGAUCACAUAUGUAGAGUUUCUGGAGUGUUCUGAGAAAUAAUGAUAAAUUAUGCUCAAAAUUAAUUUCUUCUCUUUUCCAUCAAUAUGUGGAAUUCAAAGGUAAUUGGCAGAAAUCGAUAAAUUGAAGUCUUUGAAAUUGUAAAUCUACUGUUCAACCAAAGGUAUCAUAAAGUGCAAAAACAAGUCUGGAUUGGGAAAUAAUAUUUAUAAUGAUUUACCUGAUGAAAAUUGGUAUCAUAGAGUUGCUUCACAGAGUUGCCAGAAUGAGAUUUUCAUUUUAAAAUCCGGUUAAUGAGACUUAUUUUCCAAAAGCUGUUUGAUAUUUUCAAAUUUCAUAUCAGAUAAAACCUAAGUUUCUUAAAUGCCAAAAGUGAGAGUGUGGGUGGGGUUUGGGAGGGCCUCAACCAGCUCAGUCUUGUCCAAAUCACUAACCCUUCCAUUUGGUAACAGAAUAAUACAGAAUUACUUGGGGUUAUCAGGAAAUGCCCAGUUUUGACUCUCCAAGCUGCAUUUUCAUGGGCGGUUUGGCACACUCAGAGUGCCUUGAGUGUGUCUCCCUUUGGUCUGACCUCUGUUUGAACACUACCACCUCUAGGAGCCUCCCUUCAUGCCCAUGAUGUUUAGGAGGGGUUUCCACUAUACUUCCAUGUCUUUCUAACUUCAUUAUACAACUUAUGAUGACUUAGGACUGCAUUGUCCUAACUUACUGGCAGAUAGUACAUCUCCUUUAGACUAUAAACAUUUUAAAGGCAGGAGGUAUGCCAUUUAACCUUUGGAUUCUGAGCCCAUAAAUGUUCCGGAUGGUAGAAGCUGUUUGUUUCUGGGUCUAUGCCUGUAAGGCUGAGGCAUUAUGGGGUUCCUGGAAAGAGAAGGGCUUAGGACCAUUUCACUACAAACCCCUCUCAAAGGGGACAGGACUCUCAGAUGCAGCACUAAAGGGCAUGCCCUAAUCCUGCAAAGAGGUCAGGAAGACAUAUUUUCAGCUAGGGCAGCCAGUGUACAGACAGUGGGCAGAAUCUAGAGAGGGGAAACCCAAGCGACUUAACCUCCAGACUGAGAGAUGGACAGCCUGUCUGUCUGUGGAGAGAUCAGAAACCCAGGGUGGGGUACUAACUAAUGAAGAAAAAAAAAACUUUAUUUUAUAUCUUGACUUUUUAAAUUAUUCCCCAAAUGAGUAAAAGUCCAGAAAGUCUUUAUAAGAAUAAAAGACAAAAUAGUAAAUGAUAACAUAGCUAACAUUUAUCAGGUGUUAGUAGGGGCCUGGCUUUUUUCAAAGUGCUUUAUGUGUAUUAACCCUUUUAAUUCUUAAAACAAGCUCUCGAGUGGGUACCAUUGUGAGGAAACCAGGGCAGAGGUGUGUAAAUAUCUGGCACAGUGUCUCAGAGCUAGAGGCAGAGCUGGCUUUCAAAUCCAGUGGUGUGGCUGCGGAGUCCAUGCUUGUAACUGCUAUGCUCGAAUGCCACUUAUGAGUGAAUCCUUAAUCUUGUACCUGUUGUUUUAAUCUGAGGUCUUUUUGAUUUGCAUUUGAACCAUUGUUACCAGAGACUGUGGUUGAAGAGGAAAACAUCUCCCUGUAUUGUUAAAAGUUGGCAUAUUGGAUACCCGGGGCACACCAGUACUUUCAUAUAAGAGACAGUUAUUAAUGACCCAGGCUGGGAGCUUUAAAUAGAAGUCUAGAUGCUAUUUUCCACCAACUUCAAGCCUGUAGAGGAUGACAGCCGAAUGGAGGAAUAUAGGUAUCACUGUGUUUAUAUAAGAAGCACAUUACAUAGAAAGUUUUUCUACAGGAAAAGAGAAAGUGUGGCAGCAAAUAUAGCACAAAAUAGUCACGCUGAAGGGUAAAAGGGAAUGCAGUUAAAGAGACUGUUCUGGGAAGUUAGCCUCACUUCCUUACACCCCCUUCUCUAGUUUCCUGACAUUCUAUUCGUUGAAGUCACCCAAGGGGGGCUGGCCUCACUUUGGCAGCUUCUGUGGAUAGGAAGUUGAUAGGGAACCCAGGCCAACUUUGUUGAGAAUUCGGGGAGGUCUGCUCUGUGGUGGCUCUGAUUGGGUCUAGUCGCAUCUGUGGUGGCUGCUAGGGUGAAACAGACCUUCUAUUCCUUUGUGGUCUCCUGCUGCAGACUGGAGAUCCUCAUUCUAAUGUUAUGCUUUCUGCAGAGGGCACAGUUUAUGAGAGGCAGUUACUACAGACGUAAUGUUGAGGUGGGGUGGGGCAGAUAGUUGUCAUACACAAGUGGAGCUCCAGUCCAAGAGGUUUCCAUGGGCAGGAUGGCCACGGGGCCUCUGCUGGCCUGCAUGGUGCCAUUAUACAAAUUAGGAAAAGGCACCUUUUUUCUGAGAUUGUUUACUUCUAUCUACCAGAAAAUUAUCACAGUAUACUGACUGAGUUAGAAAAGGGCACUUUGCUAAAAUCUGUUGUUGAAUUUGUCAUAAUAAAUAUAUAAAUCAGCUGAUGUCUCCAGUGUGAAUGAUCACCCUGUCAGGUGUCUAAGGACUGUUGUCUUUUAGUUCUGCUCUCAAGGAAAAGAGAACCCAUCCUUCCCUUGGGUCCCUCCAACUGGAGGAUAAGACCUAAGCUUUAAUAAUCGCUUGACAGUUUCUCAGAUCACUAGCCCAGUCUUCCCCCUCAUUAUUAAGUUCCUCUUCUUUGCCUCCUGCUAGCCUAGACUUUUCCUUAUCACUGGAAGCUGAACCAGUCUUCAUAUUUCUUGGAGGAACCCAUGAGAAGAAAAUACUCUUUUUCUUACAGGGUCCACUGAAUGUCCUGACUUUCCACUGAUGACUUGUGGUCCCUAAAUCCUGGUCUCCCCUGACCUCCCAGGUCAAAUCUAGGUGACCAUUGGCCACCCACAGGUCCACCUGCUCUUGUUUCUACCAAGGCCUCUGUGCCUUCUGAUUGGAUUAGUGUUCACUCCCUUAGCGUCUAAGCCUUUGAGGUAAUCUUGAACCUGAUCCAGAGAAGGUCUAAUGUCCUAGGAGGGAGAGAUCCCAAACUGAGCUCUUCAACUGACCCUGAACUGCCUCCUGCCCAUUUUUCUCAAUUAUAACUCUUGAACUUCAUGGCAUUUGUGGCAGGCAGAAUCCUAAAAUGACCCCCAGUGAUCCUCACCCUUCUAUAAUCCCUACCCUCUGAGUGUGGUUGGAACCUGUAAGUAGGCUGGAAUCUGUGGCUAGGAUGAUUAUGUUAGAUUGUACAGCAAAAUGGGGGUUGUCUGGGUGGGUCCAAUCUAAUCAUAUGAGCCCUUCAAAAUCAGAGCAUGUUCACAGCUUGUUGCAGCAGAGAAAGUCAUACAUAGAGGUUCCAAAUUUGAGAAGGAUUUGAGGUACUCCUGCUGGCUUGAAGAUCCUGGGGUUCCUGUGCUGAGGACUGAGAGCAGCCUCUAGGAGCUGAGAGCUGCUCUCUACCGAGGGCAGCAAGAAAAUGGGCCUGCAGUCCUACAACUGCAAGGGAUGAAAUCCUGUCAACAACCCGAAUGAGUUUGGAAGCUCAUUCUUCCGCAGAGCCUUCAGAUGCGAGCUCAGCCUGGCUGACACCUUGAUUUUGGCUCUCUGGGAUCUGGGCAGAGAGCUCAGUUGAGCCUGCCCAGACUUUUGGCCUACAGAACUAUGAGAUAUUAGGUGUUAUAGUAGGCUGAUGAAUUUGUGGUAGUUUGUUACACAACAAUAGAAAAUGAAUAAGCAUUAAUCAGAGAUAGUCCACCUAAAAGAAUCUUGAUAUGUUCUCAGGGUUAAGCAAGAAAAGAGAAGGAGAAAAAAAGAAGACAACAACAAUUUCACCCGGAAUGUGACCUAAAGAAAUAAAAAAUGACCUUUCUUUUAUGGUUUUUUUUUCUAAGUUAACUUACUCUGGCUCAUCUGAAUCUUUUUAUUUCCCCCUUUUCCAUUUCCCCUAACCCUAACUUUCAUCUCACACCUAAAUUGAGACUGUGUGUGUGUGACUGUGUGUGGAGUACGUGGGAGUGCAUGAAUAAGAGGCAUGGGAUAAUAACCAGCAGAUAUUUAUUGAGCAUCUAUUCUGCAUUUAGUAAUAUUUUAAGUGAUUUAUAUAAAUUCACUUCACCUAUGAGAGUCCUGGGAGGCUAUGCUAAUAUUGUGACUGUUUUAUAGUUGAAACCAAGGGAUGGAUAGCCAGGUUAAGCCAAGUUUGUGUAUUUAGGCAAUGGUGGAACCAGGAUUGAGUUCUAGGCAGUAUGGCUGUAGAGUGUGCAGACUUAACUACUACACAGAAAAUCUUUAUCAAAGUUAAACUUCCUUUUGGUAUAACAAUGUAUCCCGUGUGUGAUGGUGAAUUCCAAGCCCCCUUGAAACUUCCCUGCACCAUCUGCAUAGCGACUGUUCCCUGGUCCCCUUAGAGGCCUCCUGAUAUACAGAUAAGGUCAGAUCACCUGCACCUCCUAAGGGUGGUGAUGGUGGGGAGUGGUCUUGUGAUUUUCUUGCAUCAGGAGUAUUCUUGAGAAGAUUUCUGAGUUAAAUUGAGAGGGAAAAGUCUGAGAGAGAAAGUUUUAUAGCACACCUGGGCCCCAGCUAGGCUAGGUCAGGAAGGGGAAAUAUCAGAUCAAGGACUGAAAGAGAAAGUGCCAAGGAGGUAGAGUCUGAGGAUCAUGGAGACUCGCCCCUGCAUGGCCCUGCUUCCUGAGAUUCCAGGGGAGAGUGCUCCUGCCACAGUCUAAUUUACACAGUCAUCAACUCUGCCCAGGCAGGGAGCCCAAAGAGACCUCUGCCCCACCCCUAGUCCGAUUAAAAAAACAUCUGGUGGUUUCAGAAUGAGUUUCCUGUCACUGGCUGGGGAAGAUUCCGUAAGACCAUAGGUGUUUUGGACACUACAAUGAAGAAGAAACAUAGGCUUGUGGCUUUUCCCACUAACCCUUCAGCUGCACUGACAUGAAGACAUGGUGAGAUAGGGUGGGCCAAUUUUUUUCCUGUGCACUAUCACAGGUCUGGUUGCAUGGGUCCCCUCCGUGGUGACUAAUCAACCACAUCCAAAUGUCUCUUAUAGCUGCAAGCUAUAGCCAGGGCCCCUUAUAUCUGGGCUGCCAAUCUGAAGUACAUAGUUUCAUUACAGAGUCCAAACCUGUCUGCCCUGGGAGAUGAGUUUUAUUAAGAUCCCUCCAAUCAUCCUCAAGAUUUUCAUGGUUCAUGUUUGUGGAGAAGGCUGUAAGAUUCAGUGGUUUUACUUUUAAAAUGGGGAUAUUAUUUGUGGCUGACACAAAUGCCCUGUUGCCUGCCCAAUACCCAUCUCCUCUUACUUAUUAAAGAACUCAAAUUUUUAUCCAGUGGUAAUGUACCCAGCUAAAAAUAUUCAAGUCUCCCAGACUCCUUUGCAUGUAAGAAUUUACAAGUGAUACAGUUCUAGCUAAUGAAAGUCAACAAGCAGGGUCUCAGGAGAGAUUUUUUUUAAAGGGUAUCUUCUCUUCAGUCUUUUGUUCCUUUCUUUUUUUUUUUCUUUUUUUUUAUUAUUAUACUUUAAGUUUUAGGGUACAUGUGCACAAUGUGCAGGUUAGUUACAUAUGUAUACAUGUGACAUGCUGGUGCGCUGCACCCACUAACUCAUCAUCUAGCAUUAGGUACAUCUCCCAGUGCUAUCCCUC